GGGCAGCUUAUGUUUUCAUAAGACUUCCGGGUCAUUCUGUGCUCAAGUAGGAGACACUGGGUUUAGCGGCUGCUGAGAUGGCCUAUAUAUUACUAGCUAAAUCUCAAGUGUUUAUACUGACAGUUCAGAAGUGUAAAGGUACGUAGAUGGUAGUGGAAGCGGAUCCAGAGUUGUCAGAUGGGGGCCAGGACAUGGAAGACAAAAGGCUGUGGAAGUUAGACGUUGUGGUAGCUGUGGGGCAAAGAUACAGUGAGAUGAUGGUUGAUGGCAGAUGAGCGGGACAAGCCGGAUACCCGAGUUAUCACCGUUGCGGCUUGUCAACGGACACGGCUGGGAAGGAAGAAAAGCAUGGCCCCCGGGUUCCUUUGUUACCACUGCUGAAAUGCUGCUAGCUCUGCAAGUCUACCUGAGUAACUUGAAGUUACCUUGACACCCACACUCCAACCCUCCAACAUAACCAAACCGUCUGUCUCACUCGCAUGGGAGCGCACAUCUGCCCUGGAAAACCUUCCUGUGGAGUAAUGUCAGCAAAGACAGAUGAAUGAGAGUACACACGGUUCCGGAAUAAUAGUGCAAUUUCGCUAAAGGAUGACGUCAUCUCUUUGCUGUUGUAUCUGCCAUCCUAAGGAGCCCAAAAUCCACCCAGGCUGGAAAAUGAAUUACAAGGACAUCACGCUGGCAAGUAAACAAUACUGCAUCCCGAGGAUGGUGGUGAGUAUUAUGAUCCCAGUACCUUGGAGCUGAAGACAGAGGAGGAUCAGGAGUUCAAGAUCACCCUUGGCCACUUGGAGAGUUGAGGCCAGCAUGGGCAAUACAGGAACUGCAGCGCAUCUUUUCCCUUUUGACAAAUGCUGAAAGAUAAGACUUCCCGAAGAAUCGGCCAUCUUUCAGAGCUUCUCCUUGUAGCAUAUUUGUUGUGAUAUAUCACAUCAGUCUGAGGAAGCAGGCCUAGAACAUGAAGAUAACAGCAAGGCCUUGAUCAUUUUGACCUUGAGCAUUUCCCCAGUCCUGGAGGCCUCAAGUAUUCCUUGCCUCCGCCACCUCCCAAACUCUUGGCUUCUCAGAUAUCCCUUCUACUGUUUCCGGCUGCCUCUGCUCUGAGAGUUGGCAGCCUCACUUGGAAGUUCACGUGCACCACCUUGAUGACCUUGCAGUACUUGUACACUUACCUUUUCCUCGCUCCUCACUGUUUCUCCUCUGAAAUGGAAGACUAUCCCCGAGAGUAGUCUGGAUCUUUCUGUUUUUCUAAAGCUGUUUGAAGCAACUUCACAAAUACAGCCCCUGGGGACCGGGUUGAGGACGAGCAAUCUUUCGAUGUUCGUCAGUUCUCGGAGCUCUGUCAUUGACUGAGGAAGGCAUCUGACUCCAUCAGCAGUCUCACAGUCAGGGAAGGGGUCUCUGUCUUUCUCAAGGCACUUCUGUGAGAAAUUUGGGGCAGAGUUUCAGAGCCUCUCCCGAUUGAUCCCAACGGUUCGGAAAAGCAUCAAUUCCUCAGGUAGGAAAACUGCCCAAGAGCCGAUUCUGCUCUGAUGUAGCUCAGGAGACGGGGCUGCAAAUUAAAUUCUACUUCUGAAAACCUUCUGAAGCAUUUUAAAAAGGAAAAUUCCUCCAUAAGUGUGCUGACCCGUUAUUUCACUAAAAUACCUAGAGUCUUAAUUAAAUCAAUUUUUCAUCCACUUUCUAAGGUGAUCCUCUAGCGGUAUCAAUGCUUUCCCAACAGCUCUCUAAAUUUUCUGCUAAUAGUAAUGAGAUUAUGUAAAUGAAACCUUUGUUUUUGAAUUCUGACCAUAUCCCUGGUCUCUCGUCACAAUAUUUCUACCUCAUCAUGGCCUUUUACUUUGCAACACUGGAGUUUGUAGUAACCAGUCCUAAGAUGAGGCUCACCAUGUUCUCUUUCUCCAGUCAAGGGCACUUACUCAGUGCUCACGUGGCUCAAACCUGUACAGUGAAGUUGACCCUGUUGGGUCAGGAGGAGGAUAGGGUGUGGCCUGCAGGGCAUCAGAAGUCCUGUGUAUUGCCAGUGUAAGAGGUGAUAGAAACGUGAAAGGGCUGCAGGAAUCCAGAAUUCCAAGAGGGAGGUACUGAAGCAAAGGAGCAUAGGGAACAGCUGAGCUGCCUGGGUCUCCACUUGGCAUGGGCUAUAUAUUCAUUCUUCUUCUAAUAAUGCAUAUACUCUGCAAUAAAUACCUCUCUGAACAAUGUACCUAGCAACCUGUUAGCAACUGGGACUCCCAACUGCAGUGAGCUACACUUCCCCCCACACACUCCAAACAGUGUAAUAGCUUUCUCCUUUCCUUAAUGGCCAUCAAACAGACAGAGUCUCCUCAAAUGUAUCCCAAUACAUUUGGGAACUAUGGAAAAUGGGUCAGUCCAAUCUAGCCUGGUUCGGCGUACACGUACAACAAGACAAACUGUGUCCUCUAAGUGAACUUUUACUCUUAUCAUUUUAUGCAUAAUUGGGCAUGCAUGUGAUUAAAUUUAGAGGAAUCAUGGGAAGGGAUGUGUACAGUUUUAAAAAAAAGUUAUAUAAUUUAAUCUGUUACUCAAAAUAAGAAACCACCAGAUAUGCCCCUUAGCAACCAAACUGUUUCUUUGUUUGAACUCUAUAAAAGAAAACCAUGAAUAAUAACCAGGGCUUUUGGGUACUUGAACCCACUCGGCACAGUGUCACUUCUGACCGUACUGAUUUCUGAGCUGUACUAUUGCCUUGCUUUGAAUAAAGUUUCCCCACUCUUUUGCAAUA